AGUGAACGCUGGCGGUAGGCCUAACACAUGCAAGUCGAACGGCAGCACAGGAGAGCUUGCUCUCUGGGUGGCGAGUGGCGGACGGGUGAGGAAUACAUCGGAAUCUACUCUGUCGUGGGGGAUAACGUAGGGAAACUUACGCUAAUACCGCAUACGACCUACGGGUGAAAGCAGGGGACCUUCGGGCCUUGCGCGAUUGAAUGAGCCGAUGUCGGAUUAGCUAGUUGGCGGGGUAAAGGCCCACCAAGGCGACGAUCCGUAGCUGGUCUGAGAGGAUGAUCAGGCACACUGGAACUGAGACACGGUCCAGACUCCUACGGGAGGCAGCAGUGGGGAAUAGUGGACAAUGGGCGCAAGCCUGAUCCAGCCAUACCGCGUGGGUGAAGAAGGCCUUCGGGUUGUAAAGCCCUUUUGUUGGGAAAGAAAUCCAGCUGGCUAAUACCCGGUUGGGAUGAUGGUACCCAAAGAAUAAGCACCGGCUAACUUCGUGCCAGCCGCCGCGGUAA
rnacentral:rRNA from 1 species